AAAUGUACUACUACGUGCUGAGAGAAAUGGAGCAAUGGAGCAGGGGAAUGUGAAUGAACACAAAGGGCUUUUCUUGGCUGGUCGGUGUCAUCAGAGAAAGAAUGUUUGUCGCCUGUGAAUCCUUUGUUUAUAUAUUUCUGUGCUGUUUCACAAUGAUACAAAUACUACUAAAGAAUAUCAUUUACUGGAGCAUGGCUAAGGAGGCUUAGCAGAACUUCAAACAAGAUAUGCCUACAAAGCCCUUCAGCAAAGCCAGCAGAGGGCAUUACAGCAGCUAGGAAAUGUGCCUUUGUUUACCAGGCGGACGUAGUUGUGCAGCAGUGGCAAAGGGAGGAGGGAUUCCAGGGCUAACUCAUCGAGACACGACUCAGGCAGACCUGUCAGAGAGAUGUAUCUUAGUAUAAUGAUGAGGGUGUAUACAGAUAACCUUGUAUCAAUUGUUAUGGUUGUGUCCAUAAAAACUAGAAAGCCAGAUAGCUUUAAUAUAUCAUUCUAUUCAUGCUAGUCAGCAUGGUUAAGUAAUAUGAAUAUUGGCAGGUCCUGGACAAUAGUACAGCUUGAAAAAGAUUUGUUCGACAGAACUCACUGGACUGCCCAAGACUCAGAACAAUGGGAAGGUCCAAAGAACUCAGUAAAGAAGAAGGAUUUAUAUGAGAUGGGAAAGUCAUUUGGAACAAUUUCUAUGUAACUACCGAUUUAAAAUCAUGAGUUAAAGUAACUGUAUGCAAGUACAAGUUAUUCGGAUGUUAUUCUAUGUUGCCAUGAUCUAGAACAACUGUCUGCUUCAGAUGAAAGAAAAUUAGUAAGAAACAGCCCAGGAACCACCAAGGACAAAGUCUGCCAUGGACUGGAGACUCCUGGAACACCAUUGUCAGUAGGCUGAUAGGCAGCUGACCAAGAAAGAAGAAGCUGCUCCAAAAUCGACACCUACUAGUUUAAAUGAAAUUUGCAGUUGGCCCUCCUUUUUGAAUAAAG